UCAUCAACUGAUGAAUACACUAAAAUUAGAAUGACACAGAGAAGGUUAACAUGGCCCCUGGGUAAGGAUGGCAUGCAGAUUUGUGAAAUGUUCCAUAUUUUU